AUUGAACGCUGGCGGCAUGCCUUACACAUGCAAGUCGAACGGCAGCACAGCAGAGCUUGCUCUGUGGGUGGCGAGUGGCGGACGGGUGAGGAAUACAUGGGAAUCUGCCCAGUCGUGGGGGAUAACGUAUGGAAACGUACGCUAAUACCGCAUGCGCCCUACGGAGGAAAGCGGGGGACCGCAAGGCCUCGCGCUAACAGAUGAGCCCAAGUCGGAUUAGCUAGUUGGUGGGGUAAAGGCCUACCAAGGCAACGAUCCGUAGCUGGUCUGAGAGGACGAUCAGCCACACUGGGACUGAGACACGGCCCAGACUCCUACGGGAGGCAGCAGUGGGGAAUAUUGGACAAUGGGGGAAACCCUGAUCCAGCAAUGCCGCGUGUGUGAAGAAGGCCUGCGGGUUGUAAAGCACUUUUGGCAGGGAAGAAAAGCACUGGCCGAAUACGCCAGUGUGUUGACGUAACCUGCAGAAGAAGCACCGGCUAACUC
rnacentral:rRNA from 1 species